UACGUAGGGGGCUAGCGUUGUCCGGAAUCAUUGGGCGUAAAGCGCGUGUAGGCGGCUCGAUAAGUCCGCUCUGAAAGCCCGGGGCUCAACCCCGGGAGGCGGGUGGAUACUGUCGAGCUCGAGUCCGGAAGAGGAGUGUGGAAUUCCUGGUGUAGCGGUGAAAUGCGCAGAUAUCAGGAGGAACACCAAUGGCGAAGGCAGCACUCUGGGACGGUACUGACGCUGAGACGCGAAAAGCGUGGGGAGCAAACAGG
rnacentral:rRNA from 1 species